rnacentral:lncRNA from 1 species
UUACAUUGACUCCUCAAAAGGACAAGGUAACUGUUACAAAGUAUGAGCAAUGAUCAUGGUAAUGAUAUACAAGUAAUGCUCAAAAUGAAAAUAAUGCACAGAGGCACACACAAACGUCAAUGCACAGAUGAACAAACAAUCACACGCUAUACACAAACAAGAGGCUUCACACAAGGGUGGGCUUUAGUCAAGGGGUCAUAUCAACCUCGACAAACAAGCCAGCUGUGGGGGUGUAAAC